rnacentral:rRNA from 1 species
AAAGCUCGUAGUUGGAUUUCAGCCGAGGACGACCGGUUCACUUUCGGGUGGCACCUGGUUUUGGCCGAGGCAUCUCUUGGUGUACGUGUUGGCCAUUGAUUUGGACGCACGGACUCCAGGGCUUUUACUUUGAGGAAAUUAGAGUGUUUCAAGCAGGCAUCUGCCUUGAAUACAUUAGCAUGGAAUAAUAGGAUAGGACUUCGGUCCUAUUUUGUUGGUUUCUGGGACUGAAGUAAUGAUUAAUAGGGAUAGUCGGGGGCAUUCGUACUUAACUGUCAGAGGUGGAAUUCUUGGAUUUGUUAAAGACGAACUACUGCGAAAGCAUUUGCCAAGGAUGUUUUCAUUGAUCAAGAACGAAAGUUAGGGGAUCGAAGACGAUUAGAUACCGUCCUAGUCUUAACCAUAAACUAUGCCGACUAGAGAUUGGAGGUCGUUACAUCGUGACACCUUCAGCAUCUCAUGAGAAAUCAAAGUCUUUGGGUUCCGGGGGGAGUAUGGUCGCAAGGCCGAAACUUAAAGGAAUUGACGGAAGGGCACCACCAGGAGUGGAGCCUGCGGCUUAAUUUGACUCAACACGGGAAACCUCACCAGGUCCAG